rnacentral:rRNA from 1 species
GAAUAUUGGUCAAUGGGCGAGAGCCUGAACCAGCCAUGCCGCGUGCAGGAAGACGGCCUUCUGGGUUGUAAACUGCUUUUCUACGGGAAGAAAAAGGCUAUGCGUAGCCAAUUGCCGGUAUUGUAGGAAUAAGCACCGGCUAACUCCGUGCCAGCAGCCGCGGUCAUACGGAGGGUGCAAGCGUUGUCCGGAUUUAUUGGGUUUAAAGGGUGCGUAGGCGGAUCUUUAAGUCCGUGGUGAAAGCCCGCAGCUUAACUGUGGAAUUGCCAUGGAUACUGGAGAUCUUGAAUUCAGUUGAGGUAGGCGGAAUUGAUGGUGUAGCGGUGAAAUGCAUAGAUACCAUCAGGAACACCGAUUGCGAAGGCAGCUUACUGGGCUUGAAUUGACGCUGAGGCACGAAAGCGUGGGGAGCGAACAGG